AUCCGGAGGAUCCGAGCGUUAUCCGGAUUUAUUGGGUUUAAAGGGUGCGCAGGCGGGAGAUUAAGUCGGCGGUGAAAUUUUGCAGCUCAACUGUAAAAGUGCCUUCGAAACUGGUUUCCUUGAGUGUAGAUGAAGUAGGCGGGAUUUGUGGUGUAGCGGUGAAAUGCAUAGAUAUCACGAGGAACUCCGAUUGCGCAGGCAGCUUACUAAACUACUACUGACGCUCAGGCACGAAGGCGUGGGGAUCAAACAGGAUUAGAUACCCUGGUAGUCCACGCAGUAAACGAUGAUUACUAGCUGUUUGCGAUACAAUGUAAGCGGCUGAGCGAAAGCGUUAAGUAAUCCACCUGGGGAGUACGUUCGCAAGAAUGAAACUCAAAUGAAUUGACGGGU
rnacentral:rRNA from 1 species